GAAAUGCGAUAAGUAAUGUGAAUUGCAGAAUUCAGUGAAUCAUCGAAUCUUUGAACGCACAUUGCGCCCGCCAGUAUUCUGGCGGGCAUGCCUGUCCGAGCGUCAUUUCAACCAUCAAGCCCCCGGGCUUGUGUUGGGGACCUGCUGCUGCCCGCAGGCCCUGAAAACCAGUGGCGGGCUCGCUGUCACACCGAGCGUAGUAGCAAUCACCUCGCUCAGGGCGUGCUGCGGGUUCCGGCCGUUAAACAGCCUUACAAAACCCAAGGUUGACCUCGGAUCAGGUAGGAAGACCCGAUGAACCUAAGAA
rnacentral:misc_RNA from 1 species